UCCGUAGGUGAACCUGCGGAAGGAUCAUUAUCGAAUUCAAGCCCAACGCUUGUGCAUUAACUUGCACGCCGCCGGCUUCGCCUUCAUUCACACCUGUGCACCUUUGCGUUCGGCUUGCCGUCCGCUUUUUUUAACACCUUUUUGUAUGGCCUUGAAUUUAAAUUCGGUCGCUCUGUGAUGGAGUGGUCGUGAAAAAAUAAAUACAACUUUCAGCAACGGAUCUCUUGGCUCUCCCAUCGAUGAAGAACGCAGCGAACUGCGAUACGUAAUGUGAAUUGCAGAAUUCAGUGAAUCAUCGAAUCUUUGAACGCACCUUGCGCCGCUCGGUUUUCCGAGGGGCACGUCUGUUUGAGUGUCACGUUAAUUCCUCACUUUCCCUUCGGGUGAAGUGGACUUGGACCGUGCUGUCUGCCCUCGGGUGGACGGCUCGUCUCGAAUCAAUUGCUGCCUGCAGGGCCUUGCGCGGAGCGAGGCUGGCGAAACGGUGUGAUAUUUAUUAUCUGCGCUGAAGUAGUCGGUUUCGAGCUGCUGCACUUGGAGCGCCCUGGGCUUACAAUGAUAUUCGGAGGCUCGCCUCUGAUUUAUUCUACGUGUUUGACCUCAAAUCAGAUGGGACUACCCGCUGAACUUAAGCAUAUCAAUAAGCGGAGGA
rnacentral:rRNA from 1 species